UAAAAUUAAAAAAUUUGGCGGUAUUUUAGUCUUUUCAGAGGAACCUGUUCUAUAAUUGAUAGUCCACGAUUAAUUGUACUUAUUUUAUAAAUUUAUAUAUCGUCGUAGUUUGAAUGUUUUUAAAGAAUAUUUAAUGUUCAAGAUUUAAUAUAAUAAAUUAAAUCAGAUCAAGGUGUAGUUUAUAAAUAAGAAGAAAUGGGUUACAUUUAAUUUAUUAAUAGAUAAAUUUAUGCGAUUAAAUUUUGAAAUUGGAUUUGAAAGUAAUUUAAUAUAUAUUUAUUUUAUGAUUUAAGCUCUAAAAUAUGUACAUAUUGCCCGUCGCUUUCGUUUUAAGAUGAGAUAAGUCGUAACAAAGUAGAUUUACUGGAAAGUGAAUCUAGAAG
rnacentral:rRNA from 1 species